CCGUGUCUCUCGCGGAUGUCGCAUCAGUCGUCCUUCCGCUGGCGCAUGCGCGAACCGUGGCCCGCCUCUCGCUAGCUUCCCCCAGAGCAGCAGCUGUUGAGUGUGGCCACCUCCCUACGUCCCUGAAUAUGUAUACCUGUGCAAAGUUCGUCUCCGCUCCUGCCCUUGUGAAGAACAGUUCCC